rnacentral:rRNA from 1 species
AUUGAACGCUGGCGGCAUGCUUUACACAUGCAAGUCGAAUGGUAACAGGGUGCUUGCACCGCUGACGAGUGGCGAACGGGUGAGUAAUGCGUCGGAACGUGCCGAGUAGUGGGGGAUAACGCAGCGAAAGUUGUGCUAAUACCGCAUACGUACUGAGGUAGAAAGUGGGGGACCUUCGGGCCUCACGCUAUUCGAGCGGCCGACGUCUGAUUAGCUAGUAGGUGAGGUAAGAGCUCACCUAGGCGACGAUCAGUAGCGGGUCUGAGAGGAUGAUCCGCCACGCGGGGACUGAGACACGGCCCAGACUCCUACGGGAGGCAGCAGUGGGGAAUUUUGGACAAUGGGCGCAAGCCUGAUCCAGCCAUGCCGCGUGUCUGAAGAAGGCCUUCGGGUUGUAAAGGACUUUUGUCAGGGAGGAAAUCCUAGUGGCUAAUAACUGCUGGGGAUGACAGUACCUGAAGAAUAAGCACCGGCUAACUACGUGCCAGCCGCCGCAGUAACAC